rnacentral:lncRNA from 1 species
CAUGGUGAAUCAGUUUGCAACAAGGCCAUAUGGAAUAUAGGGUAAUUUGGUGGUUCAAAGCAAUAGUUCUGGUUUUUUGCAGCAUGUUGGAUUGGAUUGAGUUUGGGGCUUGGGAUUGGAUUGUGUAAGGCUUGUUAACUUGGUUUGUAAGGUUGAAUGUAAUUAGUGUAAUGAACAUUAUUGAAUGAUAAGUAUUGAAUUGGAU